rnacentral:rRNA from 1 species
GAUGAACGCUGGCGGCGUGCCUAAUACAUGCAAGUCGAGCGAAUGGAUUAAGAGCUUGCUCUUAUGAAGUUAGCGGCGGACGGGUGAGUAACACGUGGGUAACCUGCCCAUAAGACUGGGAUAACUCCGGGAAACCGGGGCUAAUACCGGAUAACACUUUGAACCGCAUGGUUCGAAAUUGAAAGGCGGCUUCGGCUGUCACUUAUGGAUGGACCCGCGUCGCAUUAGCUAGUUGGUGAGGUAACGGCUAACCAAGGCGACGAUGCGUAGCCGACAGUGGAGGGUGAUCGGCCACACCGGGACUGGGACACGGCCCAGACUCCUACGGGAGGCAGCAGUAGGGAAUCUUCCGCAAUGGACGAAAGUCAGACGGAGCAACGCCGCGUGAGUGAUGAAGGCUUUCGGGUCGUAAAACUCUGUUGUUAGGGAAGAACAAGUGCUAGUUGAAUAAGCUGGCACCUUGACGGUACCUAACCAGAAAGCCACGGCUAACUACGUGCCAGCCGCCGCAGUAA